AUUGAACGCUGGCGGCAGGCCUAACACAUGCAAGUCGAGCGGAUGAAGGGAGCUUGCUCCUGGAUUCAGCGGCGGACGGGUGAGUAAUGCCUAGGAAUCUGUCUGGUAGUGGGGGAUAGCGUCCGGAAACGGGCGCUAAUACCGCAUACGUCCUGAGGGAGAAAGUGGGGGAUCUUCGGACCUCACGCUAUCAGAUGAGCCUAGGUCGGAUUAGCUAGUUGGUGGGGUAAAGGCCUACCAAGGCGACGAUCCGUAACUGGUCUGAGAGGAUGAUCAGUCACACUGGAACUGAGACACGGUCCAGACUCCUACGGGAGGCAGCAGUGGGGAAUAUUGGACAAUGGGCGAAAGCCUGAUCCAGCCAUGCCGCGUGUGUGAAGAAGGUCUUCGGAUUGUAAAGCACUUUAAGUUGGGAGGAAGGGCAGUAAGUUAAUACCUUGCUGUUUUGACGUUACCAACAGAAUAAGCACCGGCUAACUUCGUG
rnacentral:rRNA from 1 species